ensembl:lncRNA
GGGAGGAAAAAAGUGCUGCGAGAUGUAGGCUUUGAAUUACUGGAUUGUCGGGAAGACGGCAAAAGGAGGAGAGGGGAGAGGAAAAGGAAAGAGAACGAGAGAAGUGUCCUUGCCCAGCCUUAGGGUUUUCUCCAAUGAGUCAGUUCUUCACAUCAGGUGGCCAAAGCAUUGAUGGCCAAUCUGACCUGUGUCCCUAUAAAAAGAAGAAAAUACCCACAAGAGGAGCCACCUAGAGCAUCUGUGCACAGAAAGAAAAGACCAUGAGAGGAUGGCCAUCCACAAGCCAGGGAGAGGCCUCCGUGGGAACAGCCCAGCACCCUGCUGGCGUCUUGACCUUGGACUUCCUGCC